GACGGUUGUGACCGUUGAGGAAGAAUGAGUUGUAGUCAGUAGGUGGCUGGUGUUAUUGUGUUACCCAUUUCAGAUCAAUUUUAGUCAUUCAUAAACGAUAUGCAGUACCCAAAAUGCAGUGGAAAUUCUUCUGUCGAUCCACAUCACGUGGAUUUGAUGAAACUUGCCGAUCUCGCCGGAUUAUCGGUGAAACCGCAAAUUCUAAGUAUUCUGAUAGAAAUGCUGGGAAUGAAUAUUCAUCCAAGUUCUCUGCAUUCCUUGCUAAAGGAUAUCAGCAAUUGCCACGGGAAGGAAAGAAUAUCACGGACAGAUGCCAGACCAAAAUCAAAACGGCCAUCACAAAAACCUACAGAUGGUAAAAGCAAAACCUGAUCUGGGAUAUAUCAAUGGAAGGGCUAUAAAUUUAACAGUCAUGCAUAAAUAUGUACAGAGAUCUUGGAUUUAUUUGUUUAGAUACAAGGAAAAAUAUACAACAAAGACUGAGUGCACUAAAUCACAUAGGGAGGACAGAAUAUUUAAGUACAAUUAAUUUAAAUCCAAAACUGAAUUUAAAUGUAAACUGUACAUAUUAUAUAUCCCAUGUAUUUUAUCACCCUAAAUCAAGGCACCUUUAAUUAAAAUACACUUGUAAGUAUUGACAUUUUGUACUUGAAAUAUUUUGCACAGUUCUGGAGAAUGCUCUGAAAGAGGGACUAAUUAUGAGGGUGCACAAUUAAUAAUAAAAUGCAUUGAGCUUUUCUUUCAAUAUGUGUUUCACUGUUUCCUACGAGGUUUUCCAGUUGAUGUUCACAACAAAAUAUCAAUAUAAACAAAUGACAAAAAUUAGUUAUAAAAAGUUAGUAUUUUUAACAUAACAGUUUUUGUUUCAAUCAUAUAUUAAAAGAAACACUAAGAUAUAUAUAUAUAUAAAUUAAUUAAAUUACAAUCACGUACGUUUCAUAAAAUCCGUAUAGACUUGCAGUGAACAUUUCUCAUUGUCUCUCUUAAGAUUUUUGAUUGAGUGACAAUGCAUGUCAUGGACUCCACAAGAGUUGACCAGAUUGUUUUGGUAUAGGCAGCAUAGUAACUUAUACACAAUUACACUUAGAAAAUAUGUCAGAGUUAUUCUUUACAUUUUAUACAAGAAAUUUUAAAACAAAUUUAUCAUAUAACUCAAUCUCUUGUGCGCUUAAGCAAACUGUUUUGUCCACACAAUAAGAUUAUGAAUCAUCACAGACCUAAGACUGGUUGAUAUUCAAGGACAUUUUGUUAUAAAACAUUAGUGGGGA